GAGCCGUGUGAAGAGGCUGACAGCGGCGUGGCCACCACCCAGGAUGGAGAGAAAGGCACUGUGAGGUGUUAAUGGAAAAAUCCAACUUCCUUUUCUUCCAAAGAUGAUGACUGAAACCAAAGUGGAGCUUUCCCUGAAACUUUCUGAGAUGCAAGUGGGUGUUAAAUGGUUCAGCAAAGCCAAGCCAGAGCAGUUGGUGUGCUUUGAAAUGAAGCAACAUUGGAAAAAUGAAAUCUACUGAAAGAUCACUACGUGUUUCAAAGAACUGACUAGAACCAGAACUCUUCAGAAAAGAAUGUGCUAAAGGUUUGUCCUUGAGAAGUUUCCAAGCCAAGACACUCCUAGGAGCACUUCCCAUUGAGGCCGAAAGGCUCAUCCACUUACAGCGAUUCAUGGGAAAAGAGGACAGCACCCUCAUCUUUGGUCCAAGAACACAAUCCUGAGUGACACAGGAUUGCCCUGAAAGUCAACAGCAUCCGUCUUACAAAAAUCAACAACACUCGCUUUUCAAACUUCCAAAGAAUUUACUGGUCUGGUUUGGCCUUUUGGUGCCACAUUCCAUUCCAGAACCCCAGCUAAAAUGUUCUCAAGGGCUGACCAGAGAUUCCUCCUCCUUUCUCUGGGCUGGUACAACUUGACCGCUGCUUGACAUCAAGGUCAACUGGAGACUGGGAACAGUUAUGUAACUGUGUUGUAAAUUGAAUUAGAGCUGUACAUGAGCCCAGACCAAGUAACCAGUGCAGCUCCAGGCAAGAGCAGCAACAUGUCCCCCAGAGACAGCAUUGGAGGAACAGCUUACUGGGGAAUGGAAAAAGGGUAUCACAGGGUAAAAAAGAAACCGUCUCUUUCCAGUCCUUCUAAAGUCUGGGCAGUUGGCUGCCCCAUCACAUGUGGAAUAAGAGGGGGGCAUUAAGUGCAGAGGGAGCUGGUGUCAGUAUGGCAGGCAAACACUGAGGAAAAAUCAGCAUACAUAGUAUACACAAAGAGAAUGAGAAAAAAAUAUUUGUAACACCAGAACAGACACCACCCAGAUGAAAGAAAUAAGAAGGCUUACACGUGGAGAGGAAAAAAGCCUCUGGCAGUGGUCAGUGGACUGUAGAAUGAGCAAGAAAGGCAUGACCAUCCUCCUACCAGUGACUGGUCAUUCUGGAGAGGAUACAUGUGCACAGAUCUGGAAAACCAGGGCUGAAAAGCCUUUUGACACCUUUGGUGACCUAGGACAUGGUCCCCCAAUGUAAGACAUCAUGCUAGAUAGAGGGGAAAAUAGUAAGUUUUCUUCAAAGGCAAAUGAAUACAACUUGAGAUAACUUUUGAAAAGAAAAAAGGUACUGGGACCAUGGCAUGACUUUGAUCUGUGCUAACAUGACCGCCUGCAGAAGCAGAUGAGGAGAGGCAGAAUAAUGUAAAGCUGAAAGCUUGGAGUCACCAAACCAUAGAUAGCUUCACCUCUUACCAAGUGCUUGAUGUGUGGCUAGGUUCUUAAAUCCCCUACAAGUUCCAGCUUCCUCAUCUGUAAAAAACGAGCAAGUUAAGACUGGGUGAGUUAAUAGAUGUAAAAGUACUUAGUACAGUACUCUACAAAUAGUAAGUGCCCAAUAAAUGUUAACUGUUAUUAUUAU
ensembl:lncRNA LINC02997 long intergenic non-protein coding RNA 2997